rnacentral:rRNA from 1 species
GACGAACGCUGGCGGCGUGCCUAAUACAUGCAAGUCGAACGAACAGCGACUAGGUGCUUGCACUUGGUCAAGGUGAGUGGCGAACGGGUGAGUAACACGUGGUUAACCUACCUCAUAGUUGGGGAUAACAGACGGAAACGACUGCUAAAACCGCAUAGGACAUAGGAUCACAUGUUCCAGUGAGGAAAGGUGGCGCAAGCUAUCGCUAAGAGAUGGACCCGCGGUGCAUUAGCUAGUUGGUCGGGUAAAGGCCUACCAAGGCGAUGAUGCAUAGCCGACCUGGGAGGGUGAUCGGCGACAUUAGGACGGAGACACGGACCAAGCUCCUACGGGAGGCAGCAGUAGGGAAUGGUACGCAACGGACGGGAGUAUGACGCAGCAACGGCGCGCGAGUUGAGGAGGCCUUCGGAUAGUAAAGCUCUGUUGUUGGUGAUGAACAGCGUACAGAGUAACAGAUAUGCGAGUGACGGUAUCUAAACAAAAAGCAACGGCUAACUACGUG